GCCUGAGGCUGUGGAGGUGUGGAAAGAGAUUACAUAGCUGAAGUUAGUUAGUGUACGAAUGCUGAGAAUAAACAGGCGACCAGAAGCACAAGGAUACAAGCAGUGAGACAGACCCUCAAUAGACACCCAAAUGUCAGAGGUUGCCAAUAUAGAGGAUUUAGCCACAGCGUCAAAAGGCUCUUUACUCCAGUCGAUGCUUCAGAGACUGAGGAAAGAUGAACCUUCCCGGAGUCUUGAUCUGAGGUCCCCAGGGGGGAGUCUGGCAGAGGAAAGUACUCUUACUGGGGGUGAUUAUGAUCUGCAGGAAUCAAGCAGGAAGUUCAACACUAAACUAUCAGCUAAAAAACAGGGGAAUGUCGAGAAUUCGCCAAGUGCAAUUCCCAAAUGGGAGCGCAGACAGUUGUUUCUCCUUCCCUAUGCACUGGACACGUUGGGAAGCUCCAAGCAGGAGAGUGAAGAUGAAGACCACCAACCAGGUGAGAGAGAAGAGCAGCUGCAUUGGAAGACAAAGCCAAGCUUUCAAACAUCACUUACUAUGUCAGAGACACAAGAAAGGAAGUCUUCCUUUGAAAUUCCGAUCAUGUCAGAUGAGGAUUCAUCACAUAAUCAAGACACUCAACCUUCUAACAUUUCAUCGCAAAUAAAGAAAAGUUGUGGAACUGUAGAGUCAGUCUUAGGAAAUGCCCAUUCACAGGACGUAAUGAAGGGGCACAAUGAAAUCUCCAGAGACAACACAGACAGUGACGCAUAUGAGGACGUGCUUCCUCUAUCCAGCAUGCAGGAGUCUCUCGCUCAAAGCAUUGACAAAACACUGCCUGACCUAUCUUCCGUGCAGACUCACAACACUCUUAUCUCAAAUCCAUCAUGCUACAGGGUAAGGAAAGUGAAACUGUCUAUGGAUACCCCAACACAGACAAAAACAUGUUUGAUAACAUCAACACAAAGGAGUGGGGACCAACCACCAAAUACUAUCAUAAAUAAUAAUCAGGGUAUGGAUCUAAGAAUGGACUGUGAGGACAUUGACAAGAGCAACAGUGCCGAUACUGCCCAGGACCCCUCGUUAAUAAGGGACGAAACCAGACCCACAGGAUCAAACACCUCCUUGGGGAAGGUGUCAGAAAAGGGGAAGGAGAAACUGAAGAAAAAGUGGAGAGAGCAAGAUGAAAGGAAGCAAGGGAGUGGAAGUAGCCAAGACAAGGAGAAUCUCUAUUUGGAACCGGAUCCUCUGCCUGUGGAAAAGGCCAUGAUCAGUCCUACCACCUUUUAUGAGGAACAAGGACCCAGUGAGAAUAAAACAUGUUUACAAAGGGGCUUUACACUUCGUGAUUUUAAGCUGGAUCUAGGUUCCAUGAACUUAAUGGACGAAAUGUUUACAGGAGAUGAGUGGUCAAAAUACCUACCAGUCCAAGAGUGCACGUCCCAAGAAGAGGACAUUGACCAAUCACAGACUAGCAGUGUCCAUACUUGUCAUGACAAUGAAAUGUCAGUAACUGCCAACCUGGAGCAUCAUGGCUCAAGGUCAGAAAGGGAUUCUGGAAGUGCCCAUUCUUGUGAGAAUAUUGACAAAAAGGGAACAGAAGGAGACCAACAUGAUGCAGGAGUGGAAUCCAAUAUAUAUAUUUAUGCCAUACCCACAGAGAAAGUGGACAAGCCACCAGAAAAGAAGACCAAUCCCAGCGGUAAUCAAGAGGAAUCAGAAGACAGUUAUGACUAUGUGCAAUACAUGAUUCCUAUGCCCCCAAACUGGAAGAAGUCUAAACCUCUCCCUUCCCUGGAGUUACCUGUCAUAAAGGGCAAAUCAAAGGAAACUGUUUGAUGGUAGGGUUCAGUUGAGCGAUAUGAACUGGUCACUUGCAUGACCACUGUUUGUACUGUUGCCCCUGCAUUAGUCACAAGAACUACUGGACAAUAGUAUGCUGAAGACUCGAAUCAGCUUGGGAAAAAAGAGAAAACAUCGGCCACCAGGCAAAAAAAAGAAAGAGAAACAGAGUUCCACGUUCUACAGCAUCCCUUCCUCUGUGCUCCAGCCACCCCAGCAGCUCUUGCCUUCUUCCCACUCCCACUCCCCCUCCCCCUCCUCUCAAACCACUGUCUUCGCCAGCUCAGUGUUCUACACCCACCCCUCAUUAACUGACAGCCAACAGAGCACGUCAUCGCAAACACUGGGAUCUGUGGCUGAGAAGUCAAAGCCCAAAUGGAAAGGAUUCUUUCCUAAGACGAAGGGAAAGUCAAAGCACUGAUCUUCCUCUAUAUCCCUUCACAAAAGUGGAAUGAUCUGGGGAAACCUGAUUGUCUAUCAAAUAGGAAAAAUGGAAGAGUGUACAAAGUGUACAAAAAUGUACUGGUGUAUAAAGGAAUAUAGUGACAGAUUAAGAUUAGUGAUAUUCACUGGUUUUACUGAGUAAUUCAUGUCCUUCUGCAUCAGCUGUAGGAGGUUAACUGUCCUCACUCUCUUUCACUCACACACACACACACACACACACACACACACACACACACACACACACACACACAGAAAACAAGAGGUACAGGAUAAAACAAAGUAUUUUCACAUAUUUCAUACACAAAAUGAAAUGUGUUUUGUUCAAAUGUACUGUAUUUCAGUAAAACAUUCAACUAGAAGCAGGAAGCCGUUGCUUUUCACAUGACCAAAAUGGCUCAAAGAUAAAUGUGUGUAUGUUGCAUGGCUUCAUGCAAAUAACAAAGGCAGCUUUUGAAUGUAUCUGCCCAGUAACAUGCAUUAAUUGAGUGCACAUUAAAGGUAUGGGUCAGCAAUUUUAAUCCACAA